rnacentral:rRNA from 1 species
UGAGAGGAUGAACGGCCACAUUGGAACUGAGACACGGUCCAGACUCCUACGGGAGGCAGCAGUGGGGAAUCUUCCCCAAUGGGCGCAAGCCUGACGCAGCAACGCCGCGUGAGUGAAGAAGGCCUUCGGUUCGUAAAGCUCUGUUGUCGGGGACGAAUGUUACUGCUUAAAAUAUAGGUAGUAAAUGACGGUACCUGACGA